GAGAUUUUACAGAAUUCUGAUGGUCAGAAAACGACAUUGUAACAUAUCAGAGGCCCUGGCCAAUGUAUUUGCUCUACAGCCUGAGCCUGGGGGCCCCCAUUUGGCCCAUUGGGGUUGGGGGCCCCCGGGUUCUCCCGGUCUGAGCCCAUAGUAGUUACGCCACUGCAUUAAGGUUUUUUGUAAUGAAACGUAUACGUACUUAAAUAAAGUUAAAGAAAGCAACUAAUUAAAG